rnacentral:rRNA from 1 species
CUACGUAGGUGGCAAGCGUUGUCCGGAAUUGUUGGGCGUAAAGCGCGCGCAGGUGGUUCCUUAAGUCUGAUGUGAAAGCCCCCGGCUCAACCGGGGAGGGUCAUUGGAAACUGGGGAACUUGAGUGCAGAAGAGGAUAGUGGAAUUCCAAGUGUAGCGGUGAAAUGCGUAGAGAUUUGGAGGAACACCAGUGGCGAAGGCGACUGUCUGGUCUGUAACUGACACUGAGGCGCGAAAGCGUGGGGAGCAAACAGGAUUAGAUACCCUGGUAGUCCACGCCGUAAACGAUGAGUGCUAAGUGUUGGGGGGUUUCCGCCCCUCAGUGCUGCAGCUAACGCAUUAAGCACUCCGCCUGGGGAGUACGGUCGCAAGACUGAAACUCAAAUGAAUUGACGGGG